UAUCUGGACGUGACUAUCAAUAUCGU
rnacentral:piRNA from 1 species